rnacentral:rRNA from 1 species
CCUACGGGCGGCAGCAGUAGGGAAUAUUGCACAAUGGGGGAAACCCUGAAGCAGCAACGCCGCGUGGAGGAUGAAGGUUUUCGGAUUGUAAACUCCUUUUGUUAGAGAAGAUACUGACGGUAUCUAACGAAUAAGCACCGGCUAACUCCGUGCCAGCAGCCGCGGUAAUACGGAGGGGGCCAGCGUUAAUCGGAAUCACUGGGCGUAAAGGGCGCGUAGGCGGGAUAGCAAGUCAGAGGUGAAAUCCUAUGGCUUAACCAUAGAACUGCAUUUGAAACUGUUAUUCUAGAGUAUGGGAGAGGUAGGUGGAAUUCUUGGUGUAGGGGUAAAAUCCGUAGAGAUCAAGAGGAAUACUCAUGGCGAAGGCGACCUGCUAGAACAUAACUGACGCUGAGGCGCGAAAGCGUGGGGAGCAAACAGGAUUAGAUACCCUAGUAGUC